CUCUAGGUGCGGGUGGUUGGACGACUCCUGAGUCUCUCUGUGUGUGUCUCUGUGUGUGGACGACUCUAGGUGCGGGUGGUUGGACGACUAGUGCGCGUGCGCUUCGAGGGCUGGGGCCCAGCGUACGACCAGUGGGUGGACUGCGAGUCGCCCGAUCUCUACCCCGUGGGGUGGUGUGAGGCGACAGGUCACCUGCUCACCCCUCCGCCCGCGUCCACCGCUCAGCCACCGGCGUCGUCCGCGUUGUCGUCCACCGCUCAGCCGCAGCAGCAGCAGCAGUCGGCGUCCAUCGGCGGACGAUCGUUGGGGUCUUGUCCACCUUCUGGCGGCGGUGGUGGAGGUGGUGGUGGUGGUGGAGGUGGUGGUGGAGGUGGUGGUGUGGGAGUCCAAGUGAAGAGGCAGAGGUCAACUUCGCCGGCUACCAGCAGCAGCCAACCACGCAGGAGGUCAACUCCACUGAUGAAGAAACAGAGGGAAAAUGAAGAGGAUAUUGUGUUCGUGAAGGCUGAGUCUUCAGAUGAUGACGAUGAUGAAGAUGAUGACGAUGAUGAUGAUGACGACCAUGACGACGUUGACGACUUUGACGAUGAUGCCGGCGACGAUUGGGAUCUCCGUGGGGACGAGGGUGAUGGCGGCGGCGAUGUCCGUGCCGGUGUGGCGGUGAAAGACUCCGGCUGAGCUGUCAAGGGGACAUCCGGAGGAGGAGGAGGAGGAGGUGGUGGUGAUGAUGGUGGUGAUGGUGGUUAUUAUUACACCUUGGUAUGCUGGAAGGGGUGAGCACAGAGAGACAGAGAGAGAGAUAGAGAGACAGAGAUAGACAGAGAGAGAGAGACAGAGAUAGAGA